AACAGCAGCAAAGCUCACACAAUCAUAAAAAACCCAAUGGCAAACCUAUUAAUAGCCCAGACAAAACCCUAGAAUUUCAAACGUUAUAAACAAUGUGGCACCAUUCAAAAAUAUGUCAUCUAACGGUCAAAAUAGCAAGUUCCUGUCAAGUCAUGUAAACUGAGCAAAAUAAAGCGCAGAAAUCAAAGCGUUCCAUAUCAAAUCAAAUCAAACGUCAAACAUUAUUAUAUUAUAUUAAGACACAAAUAUUUCUUUAAACUUAAAAUAAAAAUAUUUUUGUCUCGGGGGCUAGUGUACUGGUAGGCUAAAACCGAGAGGUUUAGGCCGAGAACAACAUUGAGUAAACGAGGGAAGAAGGUUGAAACCGAGAAUGAAAAAGAUAUAUGUUAAAGAAUAAAAUAAAAUAUAAAUAUUACUAUAAAAAUGAAACCCAAUUAAGUUUAAAACCCACAGGAGGAGUGUGUAAAUAAUAAAAAGGUGUAAAGAGAAAGUCCAACAGAAAAGGAGAAAAGCCCAUUAAGGAAACCCUAUAAAUAGAAGUUCAGAGUAAGAAAAAAGGUAAGAGUGAUUUUAUCUGAUGAACGUUAAACCUUUUCUGACUUUGGCAUCGGAGCGACUUGCAGGUACCCCCCACCUGUUGUGAGGAGAAGCCGAGAGCACCAGCCGAGAGGAGAAGCCGAGAGCACCAGCCGAGAGGAGAAGCCAAGAGUUUCCAUCAAGGAGAGAAGUACCCGACCCAAGAUAGUAUUCAGCCCAAGAUUGAAGGAUUAGUCUUGAUUAACCCAUUUCAAGUGUUCUUGGUCCUUAUUGUAAGAACAAUUUCAAUUCAUGAUUCCUCGUUACACAAAGUGUUUGUGGUUUGAGGACGAUGAAGGUCAAUUUUUUCGUUUGCAAUGUUUUAGGCUUCAGGAUACGCAUAUAUCACACUGAAAUCUUUAUGAUAAUACAGUUAAAUGUUUGGUGAUAACAUUGAAGAUAUGUUUAACAUGUUUUUUUUUAUUUUGAUUGGUGUCUAAAUUGAUAUGUAUGAAAUCUAUAAAAAAUAAUAAAAAUUAGAGAUGCCAGUGACAAAUCAAAUGAUUGAGUAGAAGAGAUGAAAGGUAAAGUUGGGAAGAACUUACUCAAGGUUACAAGUUUGUGAACUUUUAUGUAUCUUGGUAUAAAAAUUGAAAUAUUUCUAAAAUAGUUCUAUUAUUUUUUUAUAAAAAAAAGGGUUUAGGAUACACAAGAAGAACUUAACAAGUUUGAAGAGAACAUACUCUAUUUAAUUCUUCCAAUAAAAUAUUUUGUUCAAUCCGUAUGCACUAUUUUUUUAAUAAAAUAUUGUUAAUUUUGUACGUAAAUUUCGUAUGUAAAAUGCCAAUUAUUUUCCGUACGGACAAAUUUAUUUAUACCUAUAGAUCAAUUCCUUCAAAAUUAUUCAUGUGUCAUGGUGCUCAAUUUUCUACUAAUUUGUUCUACGGAUAUUGGGUGGAAAAUUAAUUUGUAUUUGCUUAUGAAUAAAUCAAUAGAUAGUUCAAAUUUAUACACAUAUUUAAAUCGGUACAUAAAUAUCCCCCAGGUAAACAAUAUAUUUUAUCUAUAGAUCCUAAUCUCUGUGUNNNNNNNNNNNNNNNNNNNNNNNNNNNNNNNNNNNNNNNNNNNNNNNNNNNNNNNNNNNNNNNNNNNNNNNNNNNNNNNNNNNNNNNNNNNNNNNNNNNNNNNNGUUAUGAUAUAUAUAUAUAUAUAUAUAUAUAUAUAUAUAAAUAUGAUAGAUUUUUAGUUGUAAUUAUUUUCUUUUUUCAGUUAUAACAUUAUAACCGUUAUAAGUUAUAACUAUUUUACUAUAACACAAAUAUUAAAUAAAAGUUAAGUUUAGAAACCAAAAUAAUUAGUUAUUUGACUAAAUUAGAUAACAUUUUAUAAAUUAAAAAAAUUAUUAAAUUUAAAAAAAAAAUUAUUAAUAAAAAUUUAUAAUUUUUUUUAAAAUUGGUAUCUAACUAUUAGCUACUUAUUACUUUAUAUUAUAAAUUAAUCUCUAUUAGUCUUUUAGAAACUAUUUUAAAAUCUAAAAUAUUAGUAACUAAAACUUAGUAGCUAAUUUAGAUAAAAAUUUAGAAAUUAUUUUAUAAUUUUUUAUUAAUAAUAGAAACCACUUUAGAUCUGAAUAAUUUUUUAGUCUCUAAAUUAAUAUCUAAUUUAGUUAAUAUAGUGACUAAUUAUUUUUUGUCUCUAAAUUUGGUUACUAUUUAAUGAUUUUCUUGUAGUGUUCAAUAAGUUAUAACUACUCUAUUGUAACUACUCUAUCAAUUUAUGAUAUUUCUUAUCUUUUAUAUUUUUGUGUGCUAUAUAAAUAUAAUUUUCAAUAAUGUAAGUGUGUAACAAUUCUUGAUUAAUAAAAUAUAUCAUUUUCUUUUUUCUCUUUUCUCUUCUUUCUCUAAAUGUUAUUUUUUAUGAAAAUCAUUUUCCUUUUUUAUAAGAGCAACAUAGAUGCCAAUUUUGACACACAUGAUAUGUUUAAGCAUUUACUUACUUCUAUUUCUGAUAAUGAUAUUGUUGUGCCUACGUUAGUGAUAUUCACUAGCACAAAAUCUAUAAACAACGACUAUUUAUUUAAUGUGGUUUUAGGUUAGUCGCUGUCAUUCAAAACGCGGUGGUAUUUUUGAAAUUAAUUUCAUUUACGAAUGCGGUUAUUUAAAUAGCCACAUUCUUAAAUCAAAACGCAUGAUUUACGAAUGCGGCUAUUAUAAAUAGCCGCAUUCUUAAAUAUUUUUUACCCUAAUUUUGAAGCGCGCCACUUACACUUUCAUACUUUCUUUCUUUUUGGCGCUUCGCGUUUUCUCUUUGUUUCUGCUAUGGUGUUCCUCCCUUCUUCUACGAGUUUCAUUGUGUUCUCGUACAAUUGUAAGUUCAUUUCGAUUCGUUCUCUUUCUUCUUCACCAAUGGUUUAUAAAUUUUUUUCGUUUCACUUAUUUGUUUGUUUUCUUGCAUUGGCGAAGGGUUCCCUGACGCUUCAUUUUCUAUUUUGUUUCUGCUUUUGUGCUUCCUCUCGUUUUCUACGAGCCUUCAUUGUCUUCUUUGUGCCAUUGUAAGUUCGUUUCGAGUUCUCUUUCUUCUUAACCAUUGGUUUAUAUAUAUUUUUUCUGUUUCUCUUAUCUAUUUGUUUUCUUGUAUUGACGAAGGUCACCCUGCUUCAUUGCCUGCUGUUUGGGUUAUUGUUAUGUCGUAUUUGCUCCGUUGUUAUUGCUGCCUUAGGGUUUAGAGUUUUAUUUUUUUUAAAAAAUAAUUAAAUAAGAAUGCGGCUAUUUACCAUAGCCGCAUUUAUAAAUCGCAUUUACGAAUGCGGUUAAAUAGCCGCACUCUUAAAUCUCCAAUUUAAGAAUGCGUGCUGAUAAAGUGCGGCUAUAUAGCCGUUCUUAUAAAUGUAAAAUAGCCGCAUUUGUUUUGUCUUUCUGCACUAGUGAUUGUUUCUUCAGUUUCUGAAAUUGUAUUACCAUCCAAUCUUCCUGCUACCUACUACUGAUUCUUCUACAUCAUUGAAUUUAAUUGAUACUGAUGUCUCACAACACCAACAUUAUGAUCCACAACAACAUUCUAAUCCACAACCUUCAUCUGUUCGAUUUUCUACUCGUCUCAAACAACAACUUGGAUACUAUCAUUUAAAGAGGUGAUACAACAUGAUUGUUGGAAAGAAGUUAUGCAACGUGAACUUGAUGCUCUUGAGUCUAAUGAAACAUGGUCUUUGAUGGAUUUGCCUAUUGGAAGGCGUCCAAUUGGGUGUAAAUGGGUUUUCAAAACCAAACAUAAACUAGACGACACCAUUGAUAGGUACAAGGCUCAUUUGGUUGCCAAAGGAUAUACUCAAACCGAAGGUAUUUAGUACUUUGAGACUUUCUCUCCGGUAGUUAAAAUUACUACCAUUCGAUUUAUUUUGUCUUUAGCAAGUGCUAAAGGAUGGAUUCUUCAUCAUCUAGAUGUGAAUAAUGUUUUUCUUCAUGGUGAUCUUGUUGUGGGCCUUACUCUUUCUCAUCCAACGGAAGUUUGUAAACAUAGAAAAUCUUUAUAUGAACUAAAGCAGGCGAGUCGACAAUGGAACUCAAAACUAACUUAGACUAUAAUACAACUUGGUUAUGUUCAAAGUACAAUUGAUCAUUCUUUAUUUAUUCGCAGAGACAAUCAUUCUUUCACCGCUCUGUUGAUAUAUGUUAUAUGUUGAUGACAUUAUGUUGGUUGGCAAUAAUCUUCAGGAAAUCCAGUGUGUUAAAACACAUCUUCAUGACUCAUUUAGUAUCAAAGACCUUGGUACUCUUCGUUAUUUCUUGAUAUUUGAGAUAAGUUGUUCACCUUCUGGUAUUGUUUUCAAUCAACGGAAAUAUUGUUUAGAUCUUAUUUCUUAUAGUGGUUGAUUGGCUUGCAAACCUGCCUCUUCUUCCAUGGAACCAUCUUAUCCUCUCUCUGAAAGUGAAGGUUCAUUACUUUUGAAUCCAAGUGAAUACAGAAGAUUGAUUGGGCGUUUGUUAUCACUAGAGAGGAUAAUGAAAUGUUGGUUGGAGCUAUAUCUGAAGCUGAAGUAAAGGAGGCAGUUUGGAAUUGUGACAACUCUAAAAGUCCUGGUCCGGAUGGGUUUAAUUUUGGUUUUUUAAAAUUUUGUUGGGAUAUUAUAAAAGGAGAUGUGAUGAAUACGGUACAAAGUUUUGCAGAGGGUGGAAGUUGGCCGAAAGGUACUAAUGCUUCCUUUUUUAGUCUUGUCCCAAAGGUUAUAAAUCCACAACUUUUGAAUGACUUUAGACCGAUUUCAUUGGUGGGAUGUGUGUAUAAAAUUGUAUCUAAAAUUCUCUCUUCAAGGUUGAAAAUGGUGUUGGAUAAAGUUAUUGACCCUAGGCAGUCUGCUUUUCUGGAAGGAAGGGGUUUGUUGGAUAGUGUGUUAGUUGCUAAUGAGACCCUUGAGGAGGUAAAGAGGAAUAAGAAGGAAUGUGUGGUGUUUAAGGUGGAUUAUGAAAAUGUUUAUGACUUAGUAAGUUGAGAGUUUAUUUACUACAUGCUAAGAAGAUUGAGAUUUUGUGGAAAGUGGAUUGAAUGGAUUCAAAACUGCUUAGAAUAUUCCUCGAUAUUUGUGCUGGUAAAUGGAAGUCCAACAACUGAGUUCAAACCAAUGAAGGGUCUAAGACAAGGGGACCCUUUAACACCCUUUCUUUUUCUCAUUGCGGCUGAAGGACUUGCAGGGGUAGUUAGACAAACAAAAGAAAAGAUGUUAGUAAAGAGUAUUGAGGUCAGGGAAGGGCGAGUAAAAGUGAGUAUGCUGCAAUAUGCAGACGACACCUUAUUUUUUUUGUAAAGCUUCAAUUCAAAGUGUUUGGAUCUUAAAAGCAAUUCUGAAGUGCUUUGAACUUGCCUCUGGUCUUAAGGUUAAUUAUUCCAAGAGUAAGGUUGGUGGAGUGAGUGUGAACAUCAAUCAGACGAUGAUUUUUGCCUCUAUUAUUAACUGUGAUAUUAUAAAGGCACCUUUUAGUUAUUCGGGGGUGACGGUGGGCGGGAAUCAUAAGAGGUAUGCUUUUUGGGAAGGGGUGCUCAAUAAGUUACGAAGUAGGCUGUGCUCUUGGAAAGGGAAAUCCCUCUCUUUGGCUGGCAAAGUAUGUCUUAUCAAAUCGAUGUUUUCAUCCUUACCAUUAUUUUGUGUCUCCUUAUUUUGUAUGCUGGCUACUGUGGUGAAGGAAGUGAAAAGAAUACAAAAGAGAUUUUUAUGGGAGUGGGGCUCAGAGAACAGGAAAACUGCUUGGGUGGCAUGGCAUAAGGUUUGUGAGUCCAAAGACAAAGGUGGAUUAGGAGUAAUUGAUAAAAGGAAAUUUAACUUGGCUCUUAUAGGGAAAUGGAUUUGGUGACUUAAGUCUGAAAAGAGAAGUUUAUGGAAGAAUAUUAUAGAUUCUAAGUAUGGUGGGUGGAAGGGGUUAAGGUCGCAAGUUCAUAACUGUAAGGAAUCGCUAUGGUAGAGGGACAUUAGGAAUUUUUGGAAUUUAGAGGAGUGGGGCAAUGACUUUGAAGAUAAAGGUAGGUGGGAAGUAGGGGAUGGAAAAUAAAUUAGGUUAUGGGAGGAUAAGUGGGUGGACAAUGUUUCUUUAAUGCAUAAAUUCCCUAUACUUUUUUCGAUAUCCUUAGAUAUUGAUCGCACUCUAUCAUAAGUUGGGGUUUGGAGUAAUAAUAGUUGGUCGUGGGAAUUGAGUUUGAGAAGGAAUCUCUUUGUGUGAGAAUCUAGUCUGGCUGACCUUUUAUUGGAGGGGUUGGAUAACAAGAGGUUAACAAGAGAGGGUGAAAAUACGACUGAUAAAUGGAUUUGGAGGGAUGUAGAAUCUACGAACUUCUCUGUGAAGGCAACCUAUAAUAUUCUCCUGGGGGAGGAGGCUACAGGAUCUGGGGAACCUUUGUGGAGUUCUGGACAUUAAAGACUUUGCCAUCAUCACAUUUUACGGCUUGAAGGGUGUUAUGUAAUGCGAUUGUCACUAAGGACAAUCUCUUGAGACGUGGUAUACCUAUGGCGUGUGUUUGAUGCCCCUUAUAUGGGGUGGAAGAAGAGACGGUAAGGCUUCUAUUUUUUUAUUGUAGGGUUUCUUGGAGAAUUUGGGGAAUGUGUCUUGAGUGGUUGGGAUCUUCUUUGGAUCUACAUUGUGAUGCACAAAUGCAUUUUAAGAUGUUUAAACCUAUAGGUUUGAAACAUGCUAUUAUUAGGUGUUGAGGGGUAUUUGGGUAGGUAUUGUAAGUGAAAUUUGGAACCACAGGAAUAAGGUUGUUUUUAGAAUGGAUGCGUAGAUUUAGUGGAGGUUUUUACGGUGGUACAAAGGAAGACUUGGUCUUGGGUCACGGUAAAGGAAAAAUUGGUUGAUUUCUCUUACUCAGACUGAUGUUUGGAACCUCAAUGUUGUAUACGGUAUUUGAAAGAUUGAUUUUUGGUGCUCCAUGGUUAAUUUUUUGGUUAAUGUUUUUGUCCAGGUUUGGAAGUUGUGGUGUGUUUUGCAGGUUUCUUGGUUUUUUCUAUCUAGUAGGUUCGGGUUGAUGGUUUUGCUCAAGGGUUACGGUAAAGGAAAGUGUAUUUGACUUAUUAUAUUCAGUUUGACGUUGGACUUUAUAUGGUGUAUGAGUUUUGAUAGAUUGAUGUGUGGAGUUUAUAACUUCUGUUCUGUCCAGACUGGGAAGUUGUAAGGUGCUUUGUGCAUGUCUUUUGGUUUAUGUAUCCUCCACGCAAGAUCGAUUUGUUGAUGUUGGCACUUGGUUAUUUGGAGCUCUUCACCCUGUUGUCAAAGAUCUUGUUUAGUAGUUAGAUUUUAUGUCCUAUUUGAGGGUGUAGUCUCUUUGGUGGAUUGAUGUAAUUGUAUUUGUUGGGAUUAUGUAUCUUGAUUUGGUAGGUUUAUGGUUAAUUUGUUGUAAUUUCUGGUGAUCCUUAGCUGGUUGGUACUAGGAAACUUGUUUUGUAUAAGGGCUGGAACACCCCUGAAAUGUCUCAUUUUAUUUUAUUUAUUCUUUGCUGAUAAAAAAAAAUAAAAAAAUUGAUGCCUCCAAUAUAGUAACAUUUAUAUUAGUAAGAAGGAUAGACUUUUAUCUCAUCUCAAUAGCUAAUAAUAAUGAAUGUACGCAUACAAUAUAAUAAUGACAUACAAAUUACUCAAAAGGAGCAGUAGAAAAUACUUUGGAUAAAGUAAUUAUUAUCUUGAUUUUAUUGUUGGCUUACAUAGCACUUUAUCAUAAGUUCUGUCGCUUACAACACACCCAAAAUAUUUAUUCACUAAACUUUGACAAGAAGAAAAAAAAAAGAAAAACAACAAAUUACACAAUCUCACGUUGGUAACAGAGAAUUUAUGGAACAUAAACAACAAUGGGGCUCCUUACCUGAUGGGUGCCAUCAUCCCAAGUCAAAGAAGAAGAAACCAAGUUUGCAUUAAUGGUUCCUUGAAUCCUAAGGGUGAAGGACAACCUCUGACCCACAAAUGUGAAGGUCAAAACAUUUGGCACUACUUGGAUGUUUAAAGAAGAUGGAUAUCUAGAUACUAUUGCCCUAUAUGUGGAUCUAGCUGAUCCAACAUUAGUGACAGUUCUACCAUAAGUGACAGUGUUGUUACUUGAGCGAGCGGUUGAUAGAGCAAAAGAUGGGAGGUUAAGGUUGAAAACAAAUCCUCUAUUUGCUGAUGUACAAGUAUUGUUAUCUCCUGUAAUGAUUUGCAGAUUUUGUGUAGUAUAACCUUGUCCACACAGAAAAUUAACAUAAUCCUUCGGACCAGCAUCAUAGACUAGUCCAGGAUUUAUUGCCUUCAAAGGAUUGAUUUGCCCCGCACCGUAAGCAAAUUCAGCACCCGGAUUAAGUGCAGGAUUCAGAGGGGUAGCUAUAAAUGAUAAACCAACAAAUUUGGUCGUAAACAUAUAUAUAUAUAUAUAUAUAUAUAUAUAUAUAUAUACUUGGCCAUUAAGAUAUACCACAAAAUAAUUGAACUUAAUCUAGUUUUUCCCAACACAAAUGUACAUUAGGUAGUAAUGCAUAAGGUUUUAGGUUAUCAUAUUUAAGAAAAUGAGUUACUCAUGAUCUCACAACAAAAAUAAAAGUUCCAUAUCUAUAUAUGUGUAAAUGAAAUCAUAUAUGUGUAUUCAAAUUAAAAACCCCAACAAUAACCUAAGUGAGGAAAGAAAAGAAAGAACUAGUCUUUUUAAAUUAACCAUGAAGGGUUCUUGAAUUGAGAGAUAAGAAAAGGGCAUAAAAUGAGUUUAGCAUGCAUGGAUGACAAGGAGACCAUUACCAGUUGUCAUCAAUGCGGAUUUAAGUACAGCAGGAGACCAACUGGGAUGAAAUGAUUUGACGUAAACAGCUGUUGCAGUAACAUGAGGGCAUGUCAUUGAAGUUCCAGAUAGUAUAUUGAAAUAAGAUAGUCUACUAUCUCCAUUAAUUCCAGAAAUAGGAGAAAUUGGAGAAUAUGCAGCCAGAAUGUCAACUCCUGGAGCUGCUAUAUCAGACUACACCAUCAAGAGAUAACUUAUAUAUAUAAGCAAAUGACCUUGAAUUGGUUGGAUUGAUUGUAUAUUGUACUAUGAAGUUUACCUUAAGAAUGUUUGGAGUGAUCUUAUUUGGACAUCUUGAUGAGAAAGGAGCAAUGUAAGGGGCUGAUGAGUCUAUUCCUUUGUAACUCUGGAAUAUGGUAGCUGUUGGAUUACUACAAAUCAGUAACAUGACAUAUAAAUUAGUUUAUUCAAGACUAAUUGAGCAAAUUUUUUUAGAACUUAUGUAUGAUCUUUAUGUGUUGAUGAAAACUUUUGUACCUUGUUGACUUUAAAUAAUUAAAGACGAAAUUCCCAUCUCUUGCACUAAUGUGAAUUGUUGGCAAUGCAUGUACAUCUGCGACAAGUAAAGGCGAUACACUGUUGAAUAUGACACCAGCAGCUCCAGAAGCAAAUCCCACAUAUGGAGGAGGAAGAUAGCCAUCACAGAAAACAAUUUUCCCUCUCACCAAAGCUCCAUUUAAAGAAUUAUAUUCGCACGUACUAAGCAAUGCUAAUGUUAGAAUGGAGUUUUGAAUUGUACAAUAGAAAGAUUAGAAACAAAUUACCAAAUAAUAAGGCAAAAUUACUUUUCCAAUUCCUUUAAUUAUUUAUAAAAUUUAAUUUUCUUUUCUCAAUAUAUUACAAGAAAAUAAUUAAAUAAAAAUUAAUUAAUUAUUAUAUUAACUAAAUUAUAUAUUAUUUUAAAAAUUAAAAAAAUAUAUAAAAUAAUUUUUAUUAUUUUUAAAUUGAUAUCUAAUUAACUAUCAAUAUAUUCUAAUAUACUAAUAAUAUAUUAGAAGAAUUAAUAAAGGUUUAUAAUUUUAUUAUAUUUAAAAAUCAAACUUGAAUUUUUUGAAAUUAAUGUUGGUACCUGGAUGUGGAACUAUUAAAUCCAGGAGCUGGUACAUCUCCACCAAAAACUAAAGGGUAACCAUUCUGUGUUGGACUAAAUGUAUUCACUGAAAUUCCCUGUAUAUGUUGAGACAAAUCUUUUGUUACUUUUUUAAUAUUUUAAAAAAUAAGUAAAAGAAUUGAAAGGGAUAAUUACCCGGAUGAUCUGGCCAUUGCCCAGUUUGAGAUCACUGAAAAACUUUCUGUCUAUAGUGGUGGCGGCCACAGAAAUGAGCCAGGGUGCAACAUUCGAGAUUGAAGCACGAACUGGACCCAAAUUGUCUGCAGUUUUAGAAGUUAAUAUGCCCCUCUUCAUUGCAUGGAAAGCUCCUAUUGCAAAUUCAUCGUCAAAAUAUUGCGGGUGUUUGAUGACUGUUGAUCCCACUGAAAUAGAAAUAAUAUCAACACCAUCCGCAAUGGCUGCAUCAAAUCCUGCAAGAAUGUCAACAGUAUUACAACCCGAUGUCCAACAAACUUUAUACACAGCAAUGCGUGCUGAUGGAACUCCUCCUCUUGUUGUUCCUAAGCCAAACCCAAACAGAUUUGCAUUGGGAACACGGUUUCCAGCAGCAAUGGAUGCACAAUGAGAUCCGUGACCACCAGUAUCAGUUGGAGAUAUGAUGUCCUGUGGCCUGAACUGACCCCCAAUGCGAAAAUAUCUUGCUCCAAUUACUUUGCUACAAACAAAUCAUGAAACAAACAUUAAUAGAUAAGUAAUUUAAUGGUUACUUUUAUCUUUUAAUAAUUAUUACUUUGAAAAUUUUAUUACUUAAGUUUAGGUGUAUAUGUUUACUAUUGAGGUGGAUGUUGUUCAAAUUUGACAUUUGACAUGAAAAAAUUUAAAAUGUGAGUUUAAAAAUUGAAACCAGACAUGUUGUUUAUGUAUAUAAGAAACAUUACUUACUUAUUGCAAGUGAAGUUAUAGCAUGUUCCCUUCCAUUUCUGUGGUGGUGGACCAAAGCCUCCACCAGUAAAGCUAUUGGCAUUAGAAAUCCAAAUUCCACUAUCGAUUACUCCAACAAUUGUGUUACUUUCUUCAUUUGCUCUUGGGACAUUUUCAGGGAAGUUAAGGAAGUUCCAGGACCUUGAUGUUUGGACAUUGUGGACUCUAUCUGGAAUAACAGACACCACACCAUCCAUUCCUGUCCAAAAAUUCCAUUUUUUCACAUUAGAGUUACACAUAUUAAUGUAGGAAUAUGACAAGAACCAAAACCAAAAAUAUAUUUAUGAAUAAAGCAAAAAAGUUGAUGAAAAUGUGGUCUGAGCUAAUAGACACAUAUGUACAAUUGGAAUAUUUCAAGUACUCUGUUUAUUAAUAUAUUUUAGUUCUUUUUUUAAAAAAAAAAAUUACCUUUCAUUCUCUCUGAUUCUUCCUUGGUUAGCCUUGCCACAAAUCCAUUAAAGCUCUUGUAACGGUGCAACAAAGUAUCUGAUGCAAAUUUGCUGGAUGGAUAUAUAUGUCAUAUGGAAUUUUAAUGGUUAGUUAAAAAAUUUCAUAUUCUUGAUUGAUAAUAGGUUUAAAAUAAAAGAAUUAUUCUCUUUUUAGAACAAUUUAUUACAUUAUUUUUUUUUCAGUCCUCCAAAAUAGCAUUUAAGUCAAACAAGAUUCUUUGUAUUUGAAAAUGUUAGACAAACAAUGUUAAGUGAGUUGAGUAGAAACGAUUAAGGCUUAUAUAUGAACCUGCCGAGGACAAUUUGAACCAUACUGGUGUGAAAUGAUUCUGUGAUUUCCAUGCCUUUGGAUAUUCUUCCAUGUAGACUAUGUAAGUCUGUAGUAUGAAUAAGAUAAAUUAAAAAAAUAAAAAAGAAAUUUAAAAUAAUAGUCCCACUUAGUGAAUUUCACAUGGAUGCUUAAACAUUGAAAAUAUUAUGAUGCAUAAAAUCAUUUUUAAGUUAAUUUGUUAUUUUGAAUAUAAUCCAAACCCUUCUUAACUUGAAAAGUAAUCUAAUAUUUUCUUUAAAAAAAUAUGUAUUAUUAGAUUUAUUUUAAAAAAUCAUAAAAGGAUAAAAACCUAAGAGUAAUUUAUGGAAAGAUAUAACUUCUCACAUAUAGAAGAAAGGUGAAAAUGGUGAAAAUUAGUUGAGGAAAAAAAUAAAGUACAAAGUGAAGUAUUAUAGAAAAGAGAUACCUCAAAUAUAUGUUUGCAAAAGUAUAUUUCUGUAAGUACAAAUAGUUUCAAUUGCUAGGUCAAACAAUAGUGAAUAUAUAUUAUUUACCUUUCGAUCAUCUUUAGAAAAUGAGGGAGUCAAGAGCAGAAUACAUGUAAGAAUUUGAAAAAGAUGCGACAAUUCUAAAGACUUCAUCUUUCGGUGACAGUAAUCUUGAUUAAAUGAUGAAUGCGUUUUCAAACUCUUUCAACCUGUGAAUAAAUUAUGUUAAGUAUGUAUUUGAAACUUAUGUUAAGUAUAUAUUUGAAACACAUACCACAAUGCUCAUAUACUAAAAUUUGAUAUUGGAAAUGGUAAAUAGAAGUAUAUAUACAUAAUAAAUAUAGAAUGAAAACAGUAACAAAGUAGAUUAGCAAGAAGAACAUCAUUUUAAUCUGCACAACAAAGUGGAUAGGGUAGCUUUACAAUGUACUUAAAAGGUUGAUUUUGUGAUUUUUUAUUUAUUUGUAGAUUACUGUUAUUUUAUCAAUUUUGUUCUCUGUAUGAGGGUUAGACCAUUCCUUAAGUGGACCAAUUUAAUUUAAUUGCUAAUUGUCGAUAAAAAAAUAUUAUUUUAUCAAUGGUGGUUGAAGUUGAAUUGGAUAGAUUGAUGAAUGUGUGCAAUCUAUUAUUUUCUUUGAAAAUUUGUUUUUAAAGCAUUUUAGUCAUAAAAUUUUAAACUACUCUAAAUUUUGUCCAGAAUUUCAUGUAUGUUAAAUUUCAAAUGACAUUAACAUUUCACCAUGAUUUUAAAUUAUUACUAAAUGGGGUCUUCAAUGCACCAUUUACAGUAAACUAUCACUACAAGAAAAUAAUGAAAUAGAAACCAAUUUUAGAUAUCAAAAUAAUUAGUUGCAAUAGUAACUAAAUUAUAGACCAUUUUAGAAACUAAAAAAAAAUUGGUUUCUAAAUUAGUUUAUAUUAUUGUUAAAUAGUUUCUUAAUUGGUAUCUAAUUAGUAACCAAUGUUUUUGCUACCAAAUUUAGAAACUAAAUAAUUGGUAGUUAAAUUUUUAUCUGUCACAUAUUAAGUUUUUGUUUUUUUUUUUUAUUUCUUGUUUUUGUAAUUAUCUUCAACUUACUCCCCAACACCAAAGUCACACAACCAUUUACCUUUUGAAAUUCAUCUAUUUCCAAAUCAUUGCAUUGUGAAAGUUAUAUAGUGAAAGUUAUAGGAUGAAUUCAAGUUAAUUAUUAUUUUCAAAGAAAAGUGUGCAUUGGCAAUGUUAAGGUGAUAGCUACACAAAAGAGUCUUUUGUUGUUUUAAUGUGACUGAGAGAAGAAGUUGUGUAGGAAGCCAAAAUAAGAGAGUUCCUCAUUGCUUCAUUCUCUGUAUAAGAUUAAUGUUUUAUAAAAAAAAUAUAAAUCAAUAAAUGAAUAGAAAUACACAAAUAAUUGAUUAAUUAUGCUGAAAAUAACUUUGUAUUAAUUAAUUUAAAUACUGAAUAAAUAAUAAAUAUAAAAAAGUAUGAUAAAUUCUACUCUUUUAGGUAACUCUUUCAAGUCAAAACACUUACUGAACCUAAUUGUAUGGUUUGAAAAAAAAAAUCAAAUACAAUGUGAUAAAGUUUGGUUUACUAUGGUUUAUAAUUCAGUGGGUUUUAAAUUUUUAAAUUGAGGUAUAAAUGAAACAAUAGAAAUAGAGCAUUGUUAUACAUAUAACGAGAGAACAGAAGCAAUAGAAAAAUAUUAGGAGAAAGAGCUAUAAAUGAAUAAUGGAAAUAGGAAUAGAGGAGAGACAUACUCAACUUAGUCGACCAUAUCUUCAGUAAAGGAUACCAAUACACACACUAUCUCACCUUUUAUAACCACUAGAUUCAAUGGCUUCAUGGUCCACGUUUCGCACAUUUAAUUUUCAAAUUUAAUUUUCAAGGAGAAAAAUUAAUUAACACAUGUAACUUUUUUUAACACAUGAAACAAGAAUUAUUCUGUACAACUCAAAUUUUAAUUAGAAAUAGCACUUAAUUAAAACAUUGAGAACUCGAAUUUAAGGUUUUUAAGACUAUCAAAUAUAGUAAUAAAAUUUGGUUUAAUAUUUUAAUAUUUAGUUAUUUUAAAUUUUAAGAAGUUGAUUUUAUUUAAAUAUUUUAUAAUUUGUUUUAAAUAAGGUUUUUCAUCCUCCACAUCUUAUUUGUAGACACACAUCUUCUUCAUCCACACUUUUCUCCUUUUUUUUUCAUUUAUAUUCAUCUACUUCAUCCAUGUUCAUUUCUUUCCCACCACUAAAAAAAAUAAAUUAUUUUAUAUUUUAUUUUGUUGAAGAUUGGAGGUGUUUUAUAAGAAAUUUGUUUGAAAUAUUAUCAUGUUGACCAAAUCGACUUAAUUUAAAUUAAUAUUAAAAUAAAAAAAUAUUAAAUUAAAUAAAUUUUAAAAUAAAAAACAUGAGUAUUGACUUGAUCCACAUUAAAUUAUUUUAACUAAAAAAAAAUCAAUUUAUAAUUUAAUACUAAAUUAUCAGUUUUUAAAUUUAGUCAAACCUAUAAUUGGUCUUAAAAAGCCAAUACUAAUAAAUUAUGGUUUUAGAGUCAUAGACAUAUUUAACCCAAAUUUAAUGAUAUUGAUUAAUUAAUAUCAGUAUUUAUUUGUCAGUAAUGAUUAACCAACAUUAAAUAUCAAUUUUGUUAUAGUACCGUUAAAUUUCUAUUUUCUUGUUGUAGUGCAUGAAUUUAAAUGAAAUAGUAAAUAUAUUCGCAACUUACUACUUAAUGUAACAUUGAAAAGGGAUUGGGAAAUGGACUAAAAUCAUACUGUAAAGAUGAAAUUUGCAAAUUACAUACUUUUUAAAAGAUUAGAACACCUCAAUUAUUCCCAUUUUGUUAUAAAUAUAUAUUGCUGAUAAAGAAUAGAUAAUGAGUUUUUUUAUUUAAAAAUACAAAAAAUCAAGAACCACAAAUGUCCCUCAAAACAAGGAUAAGAUGAGAGAAUGUCUGGGUAGAGUACGAGGAGGAGUAAACACUUAUCCAAACGAACUUUAUCAUAGUUUUUUCUUUUGGCCUUUUAUUUAGAAUUUUCUUGAAGAAAAUAACUUUUUUAUUGGGAAAAUAUCUACAUCUAAUUCUAAUUAAGCUGGAAAUAUAAAUACGGACAAAAAUAUUGACGCCAUUUAAUUAAGCUUCAGUUUUACUCAUUAAUCACGGACUUUCUCACAUAGGGUUUAGUUAUCAUGGUUGUAAGUCGCACGAUUGUUUUGUAGCGAACUUCAAUGAGCCCCAAACUUCAAUUGGGUUUCGCAACUUAACUUUGGCGCUCCUAAACGUGUUUUCAGCUUGUAAUUCCUACCAAUGUUCAAAUUGUGAUUUUAGUUCAUGAAUCUCCUUACAACAAUGACUUUCUCAUAUGUGACAAGAUUUCAAUUCAUGAUUCCUCCUAACACCAAAGUGUUUGAGGUUUGAGGAUGAUGGUCAAUUUUUUCGUUUACAUUGGGUUCAGGAUAACACAGUUGAAUAUUUGGUCAUAGAUAACAUUAAAGAUAUGCUUAACAUGUUUUUUUUUACUUUGAUUGGUGUUUAAAACCAUUGAUAUGUAUGAGAUCUAUAAAAAAUAAUAAAAGUUAGAAGUGCGAGUGACAAAACAUAUGGUUGUGUAGAAGAGAUGAAAGGUAAGGUUAAAAAGAACAAGCUUGCUCAGGGUUAGAUGUUUGUUUCAAGUUUGUGAACGUUUAUGUGUCCUGUAUAAAGAGUUGAGAUAUCUUAAAAUACUUUUAUUUUUUUUUAAAAAAAGUGUCAGUAUACUCAAGAAGAAACUUAGCAGGUUUUGAUGAGAACAUACUGUAUUUAAUUCUUCGAAUAAAAUAUUUUGUUCAAUCCGUAUGCACUAAUUUUUUAAUAAAAUAUUAUGUUAAUUUUGUACGUAAAUUUCGUAUGUAAAAUGCCAAUUAUUUUACGUACAGACAAAUUUAUUUAUACCUAUAGAUCAAUUCCUUCAAAAUUAUUCAUGUGUCAUGGUGCUCAAUUUUCUACUGAUUUGUUCUACGGAUAUUGGGUGGAAAAUUAAUUUGUAUUUGCUUAUGAAUAAAUCAGUAGAUAGUUCAAAUUUAUACACAUAUUUAAAUCGGUACAUAAAUAUCCCCAGGUAAACAACAUAUUUUAAAUCAUAUUUUAACUAGAUUAUUCAUAAAAAUAGUAGAUAAUAUACAAUUUCUUAUAGUGAUUAGUUCAACUAGAUUCUUGAUGCACAAGUGAACAAUUCUUUAUUAAACAUUUUAUUUUCCUUUUCUUCUUUAGAUGAUAUAUAUGAUCUCAUAUAUAUUGUAAAUUUUUAGUUGUAACUACUUUUUUCAGUUAUAACUUUAUAACUGAUCUAUGAGUUAUAACUGCUCUAUGAGUUAUAACUACUUCACUGCAAGAAAAUCAUUAAAUAAAAACUAAUUUUAGAGACCAAAAUAAUUAGUUACUAUUUGAUUAAAUUAGAUAACACUUUAUAAAUAAAUAAAAAGUAAUUUUUAUUAUUAAUAAAAAUUUAUAAAAUAUUUUUAAAUUGGUAUCUAAAUAUGUGCUAUAUAAAUAUAUUUCUCAAUAAUGUAAGUGUGUAACAAUUUUCGAUUAAUAAAAUAUAUCAUUUUCUUUUCUCCCUUUUCUUUUCUUUCUCUAAAUGUUAUUUUUUAUGAAAUUCAUUUUCCUUUUUAUAUGGACAACAUAGAUACCAAUUUUGACACACAUGAUAUAUUUAAACAUUUGCUUCCUUCUAUUUCUGAUAAUAAUAUUGUUGUGCCUACAUCUAUUCGUGAUAUUGUUUCUGAAACUGUAUUACCAUAUAGUUUUCCUGCUACCUACUACUGGUUCUUCUACACCAUUGCAUUUAAUUGAUACUGAUGUCUUGCAACACCAACAUUUUGAUCCACAACUUUCAUUUGUUCAAGUUUUUACUCGUCUCAAUCAACACCCUAGAUACUUGAAGGACUAUCGCACUACUUUUUUAUCUUCAAAAGAUGUUAUUGAUCAUUCUUCAAGUACUAAAUAUCCUAUUUAAAAGUAUCUCUCUUAUCAUAAUUGUUCUCCUACAUAUUUUUCUUUGUCAUAAUAUUUCUUCUAUCCAAGAACCUAAAUCAUUUAAAGAGGCGAUACAACAUGAUUGUUGGAAAGAAAUUAUGCAACAUGAACUUGAUGCUCUUGAGUCUAAUGAAACACAGUUUUUGAUGGAUUUGCCUCCUAGAAAGCAUCCUAUUGGGUGUAAAUGGGUUUUCAAAGCCAAGCAUAAACUAGACGACACCAUUGAUAGGUACAAGGCUCAUUUGGUUGCCAAAGGAUAUACUCAAACCAAAGGUAUUUAGUAUUUUGAGAAUUUCUCUCCGGUAGUUAAAAUUACUACCAUUUGAUUUAUUUUGUCUUUACCAAGUGCUAAGGGAUGAAUUCUUCAUCAAUUAGAUGUGAAUAAUGUUUUUCUUCAUGGUGAUCUUACUGUGGGCCUUACUCUUUCUCAUCCAACGCAAGUUUGUAAACUUAGAAAAUCUUUAUAUGGACUACUCAAAACUAACAUAGACUAUAAUACAACUUGGUUAUGUUCAAAGUAAAAUUGAUCAUUCUUUAUUUAUUCACACAGACAAUCAUUCUUUCACAGCUUUGUUGAUAUAUGUUGAUGGCAUUAUGUUGGUUGGCAAUAAUCUUCAGGAAAACACAUCUUUAUAACUCAUUUAGUAUCAAAGACCUUGGUACUCUUCGUUAUUUCUUGGGAUUUGAGAUAAGUUGUUCACCUUCUGGUAUUGUUUUCAAUCAACGAAAAUAUUGUUUAGAUUUUCUUUCUUAUAGUGGUUUAUUGGCUUGCAAACCUGCCUCUUCUCCCAUGGAACCAUCUUAUCCUCUCUUUGAAAGUGAAGGUUCAUUACUUUUGAAUCCAGGUGAAUAUAGAAGAUUGAUUGGGCGUUUGUUAUACCUUACUCGCACUAGGCCUGAUGUCAAUUUUGCAGUUCAUAAACUCAGUCAAUUUAUUUGAAAUCAACGAGAACCUCAUAUGAGAGAAACUCUUCGUGUAUUACGAUAUAGAGCACUAACUUUACUUGUUUGGGAACUUUAGUGGUUACAAUAUUUGUGUCAUGAUGUGCAUACUAAUAUUACUGAAUCUUUUGUUUAUUGUGACAAUAAAUCUGCUAUAGGCAUAGCAAAGAAUCUCACGUUUCAUGAGAGGACGAAACAUAUUGAAAUUGAUUGUCAUUUUGUUCAAACUAAACUUCAAGAAGGUCUCAUUCAUUUAAUCUUAGAUUUUUCCUCUAACCAAGUGGUUGAUAUCUUGACCAAACCUCUGCAUCCUCGGUUAUUUCGUGACAACUUAUCCAAGUUGAACAUGAAAGAUAUACAUGCUUCAGCUUGUGGGACGCUAUUAGAUGAUAAAUAUGAUCUCAUAAUAUUUUAGAUUUUCAAUUGUAACUACUUUUUCAAUUAUAACUACUCUAUCAGUUUUUAACAAGGUAUGUAGGUUGACAGCUCUAGAAGUAGUUUCGGAACCUUGUGUGGUUGUAUACAACUGAGUAUUGGCAAUAGGAACAAUUAAGAAAAGGCGGUGCAGUGCAAGGUGCCUCGGUGAUCCUAUGAAGAAUGUUGCAUAAUUUUGCAACAGUUUUUCUCUUUCUUCAUGUGCUAGAUGUUACCUGUACUUUUUGUAUGAGUGUGAGUUUUUUUGUAUAAGGGUUGGGAUACCCCUAAAAUAUCCCGGUUUAUUUAACUUUAUUAUUUGCUGAUAAAAAAACGGCUCUAUUGUAGCGGUUCAAUCAAUUUAUGUUAUUUCUUAUCUUUUAUAUUUUUAUGUGUUAUAUAAAGAUAGUACUUAAUAAUAUAACUAUAUAACAAUUAUUGAUUAAUAAAAUAUAUAAUUUUUUUUCUCUUUUUUUUCUCUCUAAAUGAGAUAUAUAAAACUAAUAUUCCUUUUAAAUUGUUAUUUAAGGGAUACUAUUGUUGCGUGAUUUGAAAUACCAGGGCGGUAGAAAGAUUGUGUAGAAGAAAUAUUUUUCUAAUAAGCACAUUAUCACCAUAAAAAGAGUUAAUUUAUAACAUCUACUGAAUUUGGGAUCUCAUUAAAUGUGUUGGAUUGUUGGAUUUCUGAAAUAGAAUGUAGGGUUUGAAAAAUAUAAAAUUAAUGUGUAUAUUCCAAUCAUUUCAAGAGUUAAGAAUUUAUUUACCAAUCCAAGUUAUGUUAAAACCCUUAGAUGAUGCACAUAUGAGAAGAAAUGUGACAGACUACUUCUUCAUCUAGUUGAUUCUUCAUAAUGGAAGAACAUUGAUGAUGAAUUUUCCUCAUUCGAAAAAGAGUAAAAAAAAUCCUAGGUUUAAUCUAGCUACAAAUGGAUUAAAUUUAUUUGGUAAUUUAAAUACUAAUCAUAGUUCAUCCUCUAUUUUACCAGUUAUAUACCACUUACCUCUUGGUUUGUACAUGAAGUAAAAAAUACAUGGUGUUGUCUAUAAUAAUCUCUAGUAUAUGAGAAUCAGGAAAUAACAUAAAUUUUUAUCUCACUUUAUUGAUUGAAGAUUUAAAUUUGUUAUGGGGUCACUACAAAAAAUAAUUGAAUUAGCUACCAAAGAUUAGUGUGGGCCAAACUGCAGGCACUAUUAGAGACAACACCACCCACACUACAAGGGUAAAUUCCCUAUCUAGCACCAUUUACACUUUUAUUUCCCUAACUAGCACCCUUUUGCUUUUAUUUUCUUAUCUAGCACCCUUUUGUUUUUAUUUCCCUAUCUAGCACCCUUCUAUUUUUUAUUUCCCUAUCUAGCACCAUUUCAAAAAUAAAUAAAUAAAUAAUAAAUUAAUUUUUUUUUUGAUAAUUUUAAUUUUGAAUGCAUUAAAAAAUAAGUAUUUUUAAUGUUUAAAAUAGUUAGAAAUAUAAUUAAUGAAUAAAAAAAUGAGUUUUUACAAAAUAAAAAAAAAGUAAUGAAUUAAAAAUGCUUAGUUUAAAAUUAUUUUUUUAAUAAUGAAGAAAAUAAGAAAUUAAACCCUACAACAACAUAAAAGUUGAAUCUAUAAACAUAAAUUAGUAUUUUUAUUAUUAUUAUUAUUGAUGAUGUAAUCAUGUUAAUUUCAAGUAAAAAAUACAGAACAUAAUUAUAAAAAAACCAAAGUCAAUUAGUAUUAAUUAAUAGUGGACACACAAAUAAUAUUGAAGUGUCUACCCUAAAUGCAAAAUCCUAAAAAAAAAAACUAAUGCAAAUGUUACACUUAAUCCUUAAAAUUAGAAGAAAAAAAAUGCAAAAAUAAAUAAGUAUAGAAAAUAAAAUCAACAAUAAUAAAAAAAAAUAAAAAAAUAAACAAUGACAGAAAAAAACAAUAACUAAAAACAUAUAAGAUAUAAAAUAAAGGAAAAACAAAAUAAGAUAAAUAUACAAGAUAUAAAAAAAAAUCCAAACAAGAUAAAAAUAAGAGAUAUAAGACGAUACUAAAUAAGUAGAUGUUGAUCAUAAAAAGAAAAAUAAAUGAAAGAUGGUCAUUCAUUUAAUAUUUUCUUCAAUGGUACAUUAAAUAGUCUGUGUGAAAUGAAACAUAAUUAAGAACGAGAAAAACACAAUCCAAUAAUGUUGGGACAUGUUUUUUUUGUGUUCGAUCAUGUUGUUCUCUUAUGUCAAUAUCAGUCCUUAUUUAACUUGACUUAGGUUUCCCCUUUGAGGUUAUUUUCAUGUCAGGACUUGGGCAUAGUAUUUGACUGGUGUAUGCAGGCCAAUACUCUUCAUUUUUUAGUUCCAUCAAAUAGUCUUUCGUAACAUGAAAUAUAUGUUGCAAUGUUGCUGUUUUUAUUUUCUAUAUUUAUUUAUUUUUACAUUUUUCUUCUCAUUUUUAAGCAUUAAGUGUAGCAAUUACAUUAGUUUUUUUGUGCGUUCAAUAUUAAUUAAUACUAAUUGACUUUGAUUUUUUUUAUAAUUAUGUCCUAUAUUUUUUACUUGAAAUUAACAUGAUUACAUCAUCAAUAAUAAUAAAAAUAAAUACUAAUUUAUGUUUAUAGAUUGAACUUUUAUGUUGUUGUAGAGUUUAAUUUUUUAUUUUCUUCAUUCUUAAAAAAAAAAUUAUACUAAACAUUUUUAAUUUAUUACUUUUUUAUUUUUAUUUUGUAAAAACUAAUUUAUUUAUUCAUUAAUUAUAUUUCUAAUUAUUUUAAUCAUUAAAAAUACUUAUUUUUUUAAUGUAUUCAAAAUUAAAAUUAUAAAAUAAAAUUAAUUUAUUAUUUAUUUAUUUAUUUUUGAAAUGGUGUUAGAUAGGGAAAUAAAAAAUAAAAGGAUACUAGAUAGGGAAAUAAAAACAAAAAGGUGCUAAAUAGAAAAAUAAAAGUGUAAAUGGUGCUAGAUAGAGAAUUGAGCCACACUACAACAAUCUAAGAAUAACUCUAAAUAUUAGAAUGUACCAAAAACACUCUAAGUCCACGCUAGCAGUUUUAAAAAUAAUAAAUUAUUACAAAAUUUAUUUCAGUUAAUUAAAUAAUAUAUUACUAGGCUUUGAGUGUAUUUUGGAGAGUUUAACAAACCGUCCGUUAGUUAUUUUCAUUUUUUCACGAAAGAAUAAAUCCUUCAUCUCUUUCUUCAGAGCACCCACAAGUUCAAUCUUCUCCAUUUUUCAUCUUUUUUUCUCAAACCAAAUUCGCAAGGUUAAAUCUUCCCUUUUUUCACUCUUUCUUCAAAGCAAACCCUAGAUCCUCUUCUUCAUUUUUGGCCUUCCUACGCUAGCUAAAAUCUUCUCCUCUUUUUCGUUUUUGGCGCGAGUUAGAAUCUUCUCCCUUUUUCUCCUCUUUCUUCAGAGCAAACUCUACACCUUUUCUUCGUUUUUGGCCAAACCAUUUGUUCCUACCGCGAUUAUCUCAUCAAGCAGUUGUUAAAACCUCAAUUUCUUCUUGUCUCCAUUGUUGUUGCACAAAUUUAUUUAUUUUUGUAGUGAGUGAGCUAGUGAGGCUACGUAAUCAAUUCCAGUCUUCAAAAUUGGGAGGAUGAUGUUGAAUUUUUGGAUUGGCUUCGAUUCUUUGCAGCUUAACCUCUAAGGUUAACUUAAAAGGUUAGUUGAUUUUGGUUUCAGUGAGUUCAUUGUUGAUUCAGCGUUUUAUUUUUAAUUUUUGCGUUUUUCUGUGUUUGAUUGAGGUGGUGCAGGGAUUGUAUGAGGAUUGUUGUGUGGAACUGGAAAUUGUGUUGGAAGUGUUAUAAAGGUUAGUUUAUAGCAAGUUAGUUUUAGGAAUCGAAAAUAGUUUGUAAUAUUUUAAAAAAAUUGCAUGUCGAAGAAUGAAUUAGAUGGAGUAACUGAAAUUGUUGUGAUGAAUUGCAAUUAAGAUUGGGAUUUGGUUAUGUUUUGAACAUGUUACUCUUGAAUAUUGAUUUCAGUGGAAAAUUUAACAUUAUAGCAAUAUGCAUAGUCUUGGUUCUUUUUUCUUGUUACUUUUAUCAUUUUUCUCCAAUUUUGUUGAAUCCUUCAUGCAAUUCCUCGUGUACUUUCAAAUGAAAAUAUAUUUAUAAUAUUAUUUUUAUAAUAUUGAAUAUUAAAUAUGCUUAUUGUAGAAAAAUUGAAACAUUGAAAGAAGAUAAUAUAUCUUUUACAUAAGAGAUUUCUAAAAGUUAUCAUCAUAUUGUAGGUUGAGAAAAAAAAUGAAUAUCAAUAGAAUGACAAUUAUCUCAUUUCAUUAUGUUCCAAUUUAUGAAAAGGUAAAGAAGAUAAAUCAUGUCUAUAGAAAGAUGAAAAAAAUUCAAGUAUGACAAACAUAUGGAAGACAAUGUCCAUCUUCUCUAAUCUUCCACAUUAGCAUAAGUUAAAAGUUAGACAUUGUAUAAAUGUAAUGCAUGUAGAGAAAGACAUGUGUGAUAAAUUAAUUGGUGCACUUCUUAACACUAAAGGGAAGUCAAAUGAUGGUGUGAAUGCUUGUUUCAAUUUGAUUGAAAUGAAGAUACAAGAGGAUUUGGUACCAAGAAAGGUAGGUAAGCACAAAUAUUUGUCUCCAUCAUGUUACACUUUGUCUAAAAAAAGGGAGAAAAUAAGUUUGUGCCAAUUCUAAAGGAAUUGAAGGUACCACAAAAAUACUCUUCAAAUUUUAAGAGUAUUGCAUUUGUACAAAAUAUAAAGCUAGUUGGCUUAAAGUUUCAUGAUUGUCACAUUUUAAUGCAAUAAUUAUUGAUUGUGGUUAUUAGUGGAAUCUUACCCAAAAUGAUUAGACAUAUGAUUACUUUUUGACAAGUAUACCAAUGUGUUGCAAGUAGUAAAUGGGAUAGAAGUUCAAGUAUCAAAUAUACAAAGAUUUGUUAUAUAAUUAUUUAAUCAUAAAGAAAAUUAACUAUAGGACGUUUUGAAUUUGAGAGAAAAAUAAAGGUAACAUUUAUAAUUUAUAAAGGUAAAAAUAAAAAAUUAAGAUUUUUGGAUUUUGGAAAGAAAAAGACUAAUACCCUUUCCCAUGUCAUUCAUUUUUCCCAACUUCAACUAUACAAAAUUAUAAUUUGAUUAUUUGGUGAGAAAAUACCAAGAUUACUUCUAGAAUAUCAAAUUGGUCCUUCGGUGAAGUUUACCAAGAAACCAACAUUAAGGUCAAUGACUUACAACUAGCUUAGUAAAAACAUUAGUACAAAAUCAUGAUUUCAUUAGUUAGACCAAACAAACAUUAAGAAAAUAGUAAAUUUUUUUACUAAAUAAUGCUAGAAAAAAGAAGAUAAAUUACAUGAUUUGGACAACUACAUCAACAUUUAUCAAUAGAGUGCUUAACCGCUCAUGGCUUAACACUUAGUCUAACAUUAAAAGAAAAUACUACAAAAUUAAGAGCAUAAUGUGGUGCUUAGGUUUUGGGCUACUACCUUCGGGGUACAAGGUUGUAUACAAAAGAUUGGGUUUUGCUUGUUGCCUUAGUCCUUAAUUUAUAACAUUUAAAGUUAAUUUUUUUUCUUCACAAUGUGUCUCUUAAGGUCAAGUGGUAGUAGAUGUGACGAUAACAAAGUGUUCACGUAAUCCUAACAAAAAGAAGAAAACGUAAAAUCAUAAAAACAAUAAAUAAAAAAUAAUAUUAGAAAUACAUGAAAUAACAAUAAGUUUUCAAACUGAGAUAGUUUCACUCAAGUGAGAUAUAUAUGGUUAUUUUGGCAUGUUGUAUUAUUAAUGAGAGUUUCAUGUAUAUACAUGAGAUAGGUAGGUGAGAUGGUUAAUUGAAAUGCAUCUAAAAUGAGUCUACAUGAUGUGAUGUGUUAUGAUAAAAUCUUAUACAUGUAAUUCUAUAGUGCAAGGUUACUUGAAAUUAUAUCGUGACUAAUUAUGGAUGUAGUAUUAAAUAAAAAAUUUAUUAAAAAAUAUUCAAACUUUACUAAUAAUCUAAAUGAUGUAUAUUACAGAUUGAGGUUUCUAAGACUAUUUCGGUAAUUAAAGAUUUAACUUGUUUAGUGGGAAAUUCGUCUAAAGUUUCAAUGAAGAAUGAUAUGUUGGAUUUCAACAUGAUUAAGUUUUUUGGUAUUAAGACUCGUAGUGGGAAAGUUCUUCGUCCUCUUCCUGUUAGAUGGGAAUUUCCUUCACCAAGUUGGGUUAAAAUUAACACUGAUGAGACUGCUAGGGGUAUCCUGGUCUUACUACUUGUGGAGGUAUUUUUCGUGGGAGUAUGGGAGAAUUUAUUGGUGCUUUUUCAGGGUUUCUUGAAGUUCAGACUGCUUUGGUUGCUGAGUUUUAUGGAGUUAUACAUGCUAUGGAGGAAGCUCAAAAGAUGAGACUUACUAAUGUUUGGCUUGAAUGUGAUUCUGUCUUGGUUUGUGCUGCGUUUACUGCUAGGACUAAUGUUCCGUGGAUGUUUCGUAAUCGAUGGAAUACUUGUCUUAAUUUCUGUAGGACAAUCAAGUUUAGGGUUACUCAUAUUUUUCGUGAGGAAAAUACAUGUGCUGAUAAGUUGGCUAAUUUAGGGUUCAUUCAUAGAGAAUCAUUUCAUUGGUAUAAUAGACUUCCAUCUAGUCUGUUCUUAGAAUUCUUUAUGAAUAGGUAUAGUCUACUUAUGUAUCGUCUUUGUUAACAUGUAGGUUUUGGUCUAGUCCCCCCAUAUUUUUGUAUUUUUUUUCUUUUUUUUUUUAAUAAUAUUUUUUUCAUGUGAUGACAGAUGAUUGUUGUUACUUGAGGUGUCAGCCUAGCUUAGAUGUCAAGUUGCAUAGUGAUGUUUAACAUGAAAACUUUUAUAAAAAAAAAAAUAUAUUAGAUAGUGAAAAUAUGGAAUUAUAUUACAUUCCGACAUGUUUUAAAAUCAAAAUCACAUUUUCAUUUAUAAAUCAAAGUAUGAUUCAUCAAUAUUCAAAAUCAUAUCAAGAAAAAUACAUUAUAUAUUGGUAGACUUUCUCUCAAAUCUCUAAAACUUCUAUCAUUCAACUAUGUAUAAUAGUUCAAAAUCACAAGAAUUAAUUUAAAAUAGUUCUAAAAUCUUAGUUCAACUUCCCUUCAUGAUAGUUACUUCUUUACCAAACAAUAUCAAUCCUAAGAUUAAAAAAAAAGUUAAAAAUACUAAAAUUUAUAAGAUAUCAAUCCUAAGAUUAAAAAAACUGAGUUAAAAAUACUAAAAUUUAUAAGAAGUUAAGAAAGAUCACUUAAUUAACCAAAAACAUUAUAAGAAGUUGAAGAAAUAUUAACUUUUGUCCUAGUGAAAUUUUAAAACAUUAACAAGUAGAUCUAAAAACACUACAAGAAAGAAAAAAAAAAGGUUUUAAUCGAAGUUAUUUAGUGGGAGUUAAUAUAACUUUAGGAAUUGAUUUAAUUAAUAGAGAUUUUUUUAACCUUAGUCCAGUUUCAAAGGUUUAUUCUAAAAUCUCAGUAAAAUAACGAAGAUUUUUUUUAAUCUUCCUUGAAUUUCAAUGAUUUAUUUUAAAACCUCAACAAAAUAACAAAGAUAUUUUUAGUUUAUUUUAAAAUUUCCAAAAAAAUAACCAAAUUUUUUACAUUAAUUUAAAUUUCAAAAAUUUAUUUUAAAAUUCUUUUCCCACGUUUUCUCUCCUCAUUACUCAUAGCCGCAACUUCUUUGCCGGAAAAAAAACACAAUCGUCAAUGCCUCGCUUGCGAGAUCCGACAAUGAUAGCUUUACGAACAUGAUUGAUUGGGCUCUCGAAAGAGAGUUCCCCGAUGAGCAAAAUGAAGAUUUGUAUAUCUAACUUGUCCCACUUUUAACUUUUUAAUGCUCAAACAUUUCUAAAUAUUUUCGUGUAAUUCGAUUCCAAAAACUCAUUGGAUCGUGGUUGCUGUAUGCAUUUGCAGUGUGAAUUGUAUAACAUAUGUUUCUAAAAAUUAAAAAUUGAAAUCAGUGAAUACCAGUGAAUCAUAACAAUCAGGUUCUGCAUUUAUCAUUUAAUUUUAGUGUAUGUGAUUUGUUGCAGUGACGUUUAUUUUUUUCUCGAACAGUCUAACAUAGAUUUCCUGCAUAUUAGCUUCAAUCACUUGAAUUUUGAAUGCGUCUCUGGUGAAGAAUUACAACAUUAAGAGGUUUCAAUUUAGUGCCAUUUCAUCAUGUAAUUUAAUUCUUUGGUGCUAUUUUUGGUAUUGAUCGAUGUAUGAGAACAGUGUUGUUCUUCUUUAUUGUUGAUAAAUUCAGAGAAUCAUUUAUUCAAACAGAUAGUGGUGCAAAUUAUUCAAACAGAACAAAAUUUCAGUAUAUAAUAGAAUAAGUUGAGAGGAUUAAACUUCUCAACUGACCCCACCAAGAUUGAUGACUAAAUCCUAAAGAAAAAUAGAGAACGAAGGAUAUUUAGAGUAAAAAUGAACUUACUCUGUUUGAAAAUCUGAUCGGGUAGAAAUGUUCCUUAACUCUUCUGUUACAGCGUGGUAUGAUCAGAUUCUAAAAUAGAUGAAGAUUGGGAGAGAAAUUAAGAGAGAGGGAGAGAAGAGAAUUGGAGAGAGAGAGAGAAAGAAAGAUGUGUGUGACGGUGGGUCUUUGGCUUCUGCUUCUUUUUUAUACUGUUACAUUAUCUCCAACUACAAAAAUUUUCGUCCUCGAAAAUGAACAUACCAAGAAAGAGAUUGGGGUAUAAUGCUCGUAUCUCCUCUUCAAUUUCCCAAGUGGAGUCUCCAGAUAUGAGAUCCCACAAUACUUUCACCAUGGAAAUACUUAUUCCACGAAGUUGUUUCACUUGUGAAUCUAAAAUUCUGAUUGGCUUCACUUCAAACGACAAAUUUUCUUUGACCUGGAUAGAAUCAGACUCUAGAAUGUGGCUAGGAUCAGGCACAUACUUUCGUAGUUGGGAUACAUGGAAAAUAUUGUGAAUGUUAGCUAAAGGAGGAGGCAAAGCAAUUUCAUAAGCCACAAGGCCUAUUUUCCUGAGAAUUUGAUAAGGUCCUAUGAACUUAGGAGUCAAUUUCUUGGAUUUGAGUGCUCUUCCUACACCAGUGAAUGGUGUAACUCUUAAAAAGACAUGCUCACCCGCAGAGAAUUCUAAAGGUCUUCUUCUUUGAUCUGCAUAAGAUUUUUGCCUGCUGAGAGAUGUUUUCAAUCUUUCCNNNNNNNNNNNNNNNNNNNNNNNNNNNNNNNNNNNNNNNNNNNNNNNNNNNNNNNNNNNNNNNNNNNNNNNNNNNNNNNNNNNNNNNNNNNNNNNNNNNNAAUCAUUUUGACUUUCUCAUUGGUUUGUUGUACUAAUUCUGGUCCAAUUAACACACUCUCACCAUCCUGAAACCAACACAGAGGUGUCCUACACUUUCUUCCGUACAAUGCCUCGAAAGGAGCCAUUCCUAUGCUAGCUUGGUAACUGUUAUUGUAAGUGAACUCUACCAAUGGUAGAAUUUCAUCCCAACUGCCCAAAUGAUCUAACACACAAGUCCUAAGCAAAUCUUCUAAGGACUGGAUAGUUCUCUCUGAUUGUCCAUCAGUUUGAGGAUGGUACGCUGAACUAAGUCUGAGUUUAGUCCCCAAAGCUUCUUGAAGUGUUUGCCAGAAUCUGGAGGUGAAUCUAGGAUCUCUAUCUGAAACUAUGCUGGAGGGUACACCAUGCAAUCUGACUAUUUCNNNNNNNNNNNNNNNNNNNNNNNNNNNNNNNNNNNNNNNNNNNNNNNNNNNNNNNNNNNNNNNNNNNNNNNNNNNNNNNNNNNNNNNNNNNNNNNNNNNNNNNNNNNNNNNNNNNNNNNNNNNNNNNNNNNNNNNNNNNNNNNNNNNNNNNNNNNNNNNNNNNNNNNNNNNNNNNNNNNNNNNNNNNNNNNNNNNNNNNNNNNNNNNNNNNNNNNNNNNNNNNNNNNNNNNNNNNNNNNNNNNNNNNNNNNNNNNNNNNNNNNNNNNNNNNNNNNNNNNNCACCAAUAAGACUUCUUGAGAUCUUGAUUCAUCUUGGUCAUUCCUGGAUGUAAACUGAGUUUGCUUUUAUGACCUUCAGAUAACACUGUUUGUUUUAGUUCAUUAUCCUCUAGUAUACAUAUUCUAUUUUUGAAUCUCAAAAUACCAUCCACUCCUAAAGAGAAGUCUUUAGCUUUGUCAGUAUUUAAUAAGCCCAUGAAGUUCUUCAAUUUUGAAUCUUCCAACUGCUUCUCCUUCACCUUCUCCAGAAAUUCAUUAGUUAUAACAAGUGUAUUACAACUAAUGCAAUUUGAAGACAUGGAAACCUCCAAAUUCAUACUCCUGAAAUCUUCAAUCAAUGUUAGCUCUCUAAUCAUAAGCGACGACAUUUGUAUCUUUUUACGACUCAACGCAUCUGCAACAACAUUUGCCUUCCCAGGAUGAUAUAUUAAAUGGAAAUCAUAGUCUUUUAAAAAUUCAAUCCAUCUCCUCUGCCUCAUAUUUAACUCCUUCUAAUCAAACAAAUACUUCAAGCUUUUAUGAUCACUGAACACAUUAAAACUAACUCCGUAAAGAAAAUGUCUCCAUAUUUUUAAAGCAAAGACAACUGCUGCCAAUUCUAGAUCAUGAGUUGGAUAAUUUCUUUCAUGCACCUUUAACUGACGAGAAGCGUAGGCAACAACUUUCUUAUUCUGCAUCAAAACAAAACCCAAUCCCUGAUAGGAAGCAUCACAAAAAACUUCAAAAGACUGAUUGGUAUCAGGGAUUGUCAAUAUAGGAGCAUUAGUCAACCUUCUUUUCAACUCUUCAAAGCUUUUCUCACAUUGUUCAGUCCAUGCAAAAGGAUGAUCCUUUCUAGUCAAUUGGGUCAAAGGAGCCACUAUUUUAGAAAAACCUUCUAUAAAUCUCCUGUAAUAUCCUGCUAACCCGACAAAGCUUCUAAUUUCAGUAACUGUUUUAGGACGUUCCCACUGAAGUACAACCUCCACUUUAGAAGGAUCUACUGAUAUUCCCUCUGCAGAGAUGACAUGUCCUAAAAAUUGUAUUUCUGACAUCCAAAAGUCACAUUUUGAAAGUUUAGCAUAUAACUGUUUUUCUCUCAAAAUGUUCAGGACGGUUCUAAGAUGUUCUGCAUGUUCUUCCCUUGUACGAGAAUAGAUCAAAAUAUCAUCUAUGAACACUACCACAAACUUAUCAAGAAAAAGUCUGAAUAUCCGAUUCAUAUAAUCCAUGAAAAUAGCUGGAGCAUUAGUCACCCCAAAUGGCAUAACCAGAAAUUCAUAGUGACCAUACCUUGAUCUAAAAGUAGUCUUCUGAAUAUCUUCCGCUUUCACUGAAAUUUGGUGAUAACCUGAGCGCAGAUCUAUCUUAGAAAAGACAACUGCUCCAUGCAACCGAUCCAACAGAUCGUCAAUUUUAGGAAGAGGAUAUUUAUUCUUUAUUGUUAACUUGUUUAAUUGUCUGUAAUCUAUGCAUAGACGUGACGAACCAUCUUUCUUCUUCACUAAUAGCACUGGAGCUCCCCAUGGAGAAACACUAGGUCGAAUGAAUUACUUCUCCAAUAAGUCCUCUAGUUGUUUCUUCAAUUCACCUAACUCCGCUGGUGCCAUCCGAUAUGGAGAAAUUGACACGGGGCCUGCUCCGGGAAUCAAGUCUAUUGCAAACUCUAUCUCUCUUUUAGGUGGAAGUCCAGGAAUCUCAUCAGGAAAUACAUCCAUAAACUCCUGAACUACAAACAUAUCUUUUUGUACUUUAUCAGUAACUAUAGAACAAGCCAAGAGCAUAAAACAUUCUGCACCUUCUCGUAUCUCUCUCUCAAACUGAUGAGCUGUGAUAACCUGCAUUCUUUCUAAUUUAGGGAAAAUUAACUUCUUCCGACCACAAUCUAUAAGGAUAUGAUUAGCAGACAACCAAUCCAUUCCCAAUAUAACCUCCAAAUCUUUUAGAGGUAUACAAAUCAUGUUGAUCUUGUAUCUCUGCCCAUCUAUAAUUACUGGACACUCAGCACACAUGGAAGAAGUUACUACAAUACCUUCUGUUGGUGUAGAUACCACCAACUCAAAUUCUAAUUCUCGGACUGACAACUUAAGUUUCUUAGCACAAUCAAAAGAUAUAAAAUGGGUUGCCCCAGAANNNNNNNNNNNNNNNNNNNNNNNNNNNNNNNNNNNNNNNNNNNNNNNNNNNNNNNNNNNNNNNNNNNNNNNNNNNNNNNNNNNNNNNNNNNNNNNNNNNNNNNNNNNNNNNNNNNNNNNNNNNNNNNNNNNNNNNNNNNNNNNNNNNNNNNNNNNNNNNNNNNNNNNNNNNNNNNNNNNNNNNNNNNNNNNNNNNNNNNNNNNNNNNNNNNNNNNNNNNNNNNNNNNNNNNNNNNNNNNNNNNNNNNNNNNNNNNNNNNNNNNNNNNNNNNNNNNNNNNNNNNNNNNNNNNNNNNNNNNNNNNNNNNNNNNNNNNNNNNNNNNNNNNNNNNNNNNNNNNNNNNNNNNNNNNNNNNNNNNNNNNNNNNNNNNNNNNNNNNNNNNNNNNNNNNNNNNNNNNNNNNNNNNNNNNNNNNNNNNNNNNNNNNNNNNNNNNNNNNNNNNNNNNNNNNNNNNNNNNNNNNNNNNNNNNNNNNNNNNNNNNNNNNNNNNNNNNNNNNNNNNNNNNNNNNNNNNNNNNNNNNNNNNNNNNNNNNNNNNNNNNNNNNNNNNNNNNNNNNNNNNNNNNNNNNNNNNNNNNNNNNNNNNNNNNNNNNNNNNNNNNNNNNNNNNNNNAAGAUUUCCUUGUUCCAGCUGCAUGAAUUCAAUUUCUUUUGCAUACCUGACACUAUCAGGAAAAUACUCCUUUAGGAAUCUUACUUUGAAGUUCUCCCAAGUGGCAUCUUCUCCUUUGUCUUCCAUCAUUUGCUUCAUGCCUAUCCACCAGAAUUCAGCUUCUUCAGUUAGUACAUAAAUGGCAUAGGAUAACUUUCUCUCUUCAGGGCAUUGAGUAGCUUCAAAGAUUCUUUCUAUGUCUCUCACCCACUGGUCUGCUCCAUCUGGAUUUACCUUGCCAUUAAAUAUGGCCGGAUUGUUUCUCAGAAAAUCAUCCAGACUAAAGGUAUGGGGUUGUUGAUGAAGCUGAGAUGCUUCAGCUGCUAAUCUAGUAGUUUCUAAUUGAUGAAGGGCGGUUUGAUGUUGUUGUGCCAUAGCAGCACUCUGUUGUUGCAGGGCUGUUACCAUUAUCACUAUUGCCCGAGCUAAGUUGGGCAUAUCUACUGGCGGAGGAAGAGUGAGUGGACUACGUGCCAUCUACUAAGCACGUAAAGAAUUGGGUUAGAAAUUACUAAAAUUUUCAACUACAUCUUUAAGACAAAUUAACUUAAAAUAAAUAAUCACACAAAAUAGAUACAAAAUCAAUCAAGACUUAUCUCUAAAAUGUACUCUAACGGUUUAGAAUUAAGAUAGAAAAUAAUCUUGAUCCAGUCAUAAGUGUGCACCCAUCACCACUCUAUCAAGAUUCUUUUCAUUCUUAAUACUUUCAUCUUUAUUCAUAACAAUUAAUUUGACUCAAACACAAACAAGAUUUCAAGAAAAACAACUUUGUCAAACAUCUUAUUAGAAACUUUUAACUAAGUCUUGAGGCUAGACUUAAACAAAAAUCUACACGNNNNNNNNNNNNNNNNNNNNNNNNNNNNNNNNNNNNNNNNNNNNNNNNNNNNNNNNNNNNNNNNNNNNNNNNNNNNNNNNNNNNNNNNNNNNNNNNNNNNNNNNNNNNNNNNNNNNNNNNNNNNNNNNNNNNNNNNNNNNNNNNNNNNNNNNNNNNNNNNNNNNNNNNNNNNNNNNNNNNNNNNNNNNNNNNNNNNNNNNNNNNNNNNNNNNNNNNNNNNNNNNNNNNNNNNNNNNNNNNNNNNNNNNNNNNNNNNNNNNNNNNNNNNNNNNNNNNNNNNNNNNNNNNNNNNNNNNNNNNNNNNNNNNNNNNNNNNNNNNNNNNNNNNNNNNNNNNNNNNNNNNNNNNNNNNNNNNNNNNNNNNNNNNNNNNNNNNNNNNNNNNNNNNNNNNNNNNNNNNNNNNNNNNNNNNNNNNNNNNNNNNNNNNNNNNNNNNNNNNNNNNNNNNNNNNNNNNNNNNNNNNNNNNNNNNNNNNNNNNNNNNNNNNNNNNNNNNNNNNNNNNNNNNNNNNNNNNNNNNNNNNNNNNNNNNNNNNNNNNNNNNNNNNNNNNNNNNNNNNNNNNNNNNNNNNNNNNNNNNNNNNNNNNNNNNNNNNNNNNNNNNNCGGUGUGCAUGAACUCCCCCAUCAGCUUCUCACCACCUAAUAUCUUAAUCUAUGUGACUUAGAUCAUCAGUGAAGCUCGGAGAUCUCUGUUACCACAUAGGCAUCAAUACUUAAUACACAGCAAACAUCAGUCCAUACAUUAUCCCAAAUGUAUGAAUUCAAUUCCAUACCAUUCCGUCAAUACAAUAUCAUUCCAAACACGAUCCACAACAUUCAAAAACGUAAUUAAAAUAAAAAACAAUACUUAAAUAUUAAACCAUCAAAAUAUAAUAUAUUUACAAAUUUAAAUAACAUAUAAACAAACAACCCAAUAUAUAUAACACACAACAUGCCUGCAAGAAAAAUUGAGUAUUGGGACCACGUCCCUUCCGCAUUCAUAUCUUCUAUCCUAGGAUGCUAUUAAAAAUUAAAUUUAGCUUCCCUUAUCUCAAUUGCUUGCUUUCCAAGCAACUUUUAGAAUUUUAUUCCCCACCAUUUGGAUAAGCUUCAAGAUUUACGGGCCUAAUGCAAAUUAUCCAAACAGAACAAAAUUUCAGUAUAUAAUAGAAUAAGUUGAGAGGAUUAAACUUCUCAAUUGACCCCACCAAGAUUGAUGACUAAAUCCUAAAGAAAAAUAGAGAACAAAGGAUAUUUAGAGUAAAAAUGAACUUACUCUGUUUGAAAAUCUGAUCGGGUAGAAAUGUUCCUUAACUCUUCUGCUACAGUGUGGUAUGAUCAGAUUCUAAAAUAGAUGAAGAUUGGGAGAGAAAUUAAGAGAGAAGGAGAGAAGAGAAUUGGAGAGAGAGAGAGAAAGAAAGAAUGUGUCUGACCGUGAGAAAGAAAGAAUUACCCGGAUGAUCUGGCCAUUGCCCAGUUUGAGAUCAGUUAAAAACUUUCUGUCUAUAGUGGUGGCAGCCACAGAAAUGUACCAGGGUGCAACAUCCGCCAUUGUGGAAGGAUUUGGACCCGAAUUGCCUGCAGAUUUAGAAGUUAAUAUGCCCCUCCUCAUUGCAUGGAAAGCUCCUAUUGCAUGUACAUCUUCAAAAUAGUUCAAGUGUUUGACGGUUGAUCCCACUGAAACAGAAAGAAUAUCAACACCAUCUGAGAUGGCUGCAUCAUAUGCUGCAAAACCAAAAAUAUAGUAAUAGACAUAUGACAGAAAUAGUAAUAAUAUGCAUCAUAUGACAGGAAUCAAAACCAAAAAUAUAUUUAUGAAUAAAGCAAAAAGCUGAUGAAAAUGUGGUUUGAGCUAAUAGACAUAUAUGUAUAAUUGGAAUUUUUCAAGUGCUCUUUUUAUUAAUAUAUUUUAGUUCUUUUUUUUGGAAAAAAAAAUUACCUUUCAUUCUUUCUGAUUCUUCUUUGGUUAGUCUCGCCACAAAUCCAUUGAAACUCUUGUAGCGGUGCAACAAAGUAUCUGAUGCAAAUUUGCUGGAUGGAUGUACAUGUCAUAUGGAAUUUUAAUAGUUAGUUAAAAAAUUCCAUAUUCUUGAUUGAUAAUAGGUUUAAAAUAAAAGAGUUGUUCUCUUUUUAGAGCAAUUUAUUUCAUUGUUUUUCUUUUCACUCCUCCAAAAUAGCAUUUAAGUCAAACACGAUUCUUUGUAUUUGAAAAUGUUAGACAGAUAAUGUUAAGUGAGUUAAGUAGAAACAAUAAUUAAGGCUUAUGAACCUGCCGAGGACACUUUGAACCAUACUGGUGUGAAAUGAUUCUGUGAUUUCCAUGCCCUUUGGAUAUUCUCCCAUGUAGACUAUGUAAGUCUGUAGUAUGAACAAGAUAAAUUAAAAAAAUAAAAAAGAAAUUUAAACUAAGUGAAUUUUAGUGAAUUUCACAUGGAUGCUUCAACAUUGAAAAUAUUAUGAUGCAUAUAAUUAUUUUUAGGUUAAUUUGUUAUUUUGAACUCUUCUUAACUUAAAAGUAAUCCAAGAUUUUACUUAAAAAAAUAUGCAUUAUUAGAUUUAUUUUAAAAAAUCAUAAAAGGAUAAAAACCUAAGAGUAAUUUAUGGAAAGAUAUAACUUCUCAGAUAAGGAUUGUGAAAAUUAGUUGAGGAAAAAAUAAAGUACAAUACAAAGUGAAGUAUUAUACAAAAGAGAUAACGGAAGUAUAUGUUUGUAAAAGUAUAUUUCUGUAAGACAAAUAUUUUCAAUUGCUAGCUUCACUGCAAGAAAUUUGUUAUUUACAUACCGAUUAUUAUAUACGAAUUUUACAUACGGAUUUAAAUUCACAUGUAAAGUGACAUUAUAAAUGAAUUUUUACAUACGGAUCUUGAUCCGUAUGUAAAGUGAGCAUUACAUACGAAUUUUUACAUAUGGAUCCUGAUCGAUUUGUAAAGUGAGCAUUACAUACGGAUUUGUGUUGUAUGUAAUACCAAUUUUUCUUAUAGUGGUAAAAUAACAUUGAAUAUAUAUUAUUUACCUUUCUAUCAUCUUUAGAAAAUGAGGGAGUCAACAGCAGAAUGCAUGUAAGAAUUUGAAGAAGAUGCGACAAUCCUAAAGAUUUCAUCUUUCGGUGAUAGUAAUCUUGAUUAAAUGAUGAAUGUGUUCUCAAGCUCUUUCAACCUGUAAGUAAAUUUAAUUUAUUAUGUUAAGUAUAUAUAACUCAUAGCACAAUGCUCCUACACUAAAAUUUGAUAUUGAAAAUGGUAAAAGAAGUAUAUAUACAUAAUAAAUUGAUAAUGAAAACAGUAACAAAGUAGAUUAGAAAGAAGAACAUCAUUUUAAUCUGCACAACAAAGUGGAUUUGGUAGCUUUACAAUAUACUUAAAAGUUGGUUUUGUGAUUUUUAAUUAAUUUGUAGAUUGCUGUUAUUUUAUCAUUCUGGUGGUUGAAGUUGAAUUGGAUAGAUUGAUGUAUGUGUGCAAUCUAUUAUUUUAAACUACUGUGUAAAUAUUGUCCAUAAUUUCAUAUAUGUUAAAUUUCAAAUGACAUUAACAUUUCACAAUGGUUUUAAAUUAUUACUAAAUGGGGUCUUCAAUGCACCAUGUAUGCUGGUCACAUAUACAUACAGUCAACUGUGUCACCAAAUCUACUUCCUAUAUAUUGUGUAUUGUUUAAUUCUGUUCAAUUUUGUUGAUGCAGGCAAAUAAACAUUAAUGGUGUCAACUAUAGUAAUUAAAUCUACUUUGUUAUACAUUGUGUUUUGUAUUAAUUUUAUUCAAUUAUGUUCAUCACAUAAGUAGACAAAUAAACAAUAAUAAUAUCAACUAUAUUCACUAAGUCUUCUUCAUAUUAUAUAUUGUAUAUUUUAUUAAUUUUGUUCAUCACAUAUAGACAUAAAUAAAAAAUAAUAGUGUCAAGUAUGAUCAUUAAAUCUAUUUUUUAAUAUAUAUAUAUAUAUAUAUAUAUAUAUAUAUUCAUCACAUAAGCAGGCAAAUAAACAAUAAUAAUGUUAACUAUGGUCACUAAGUCUACUUCAUUCUAUAUAUUAUGUAUUGUAUUAAUUUUGUUCAUCACAUAUAAACAUAAAUAGAAAUAAAUCAAUAGAAUAAAAGUAAUUAGGGAUCAUGUUGAUGCUUAAUAUUUACUCAAAUUAAGAGAAAGCUAUUAUAUAUAAUUACAAAUUCAUAAUUAAAUUAAUUAAAAGUAAACCAAUAAAAAUAACUAGGGAUGAUGUUGAUGCUUAAUAUUUACUCGAAGAGAAAUCUAUUAUAUAUAGUUACAAAUUCAUAACAAGAUAAUUAUGCUGAAAAGUUAAAUAACUUUGUAUUAAUUAAUUUAAAUACUGAAUAAAUAAUAAAUAUAUUCUACUGUUUUAGGUCACUUUUUGAAGCCAAAGCACUGACUGAACCUAAUUGCAUGGUUAAAAAAAAAAUACAAUUUGAUAAAGUUUGGUUUAUGAUGGAUUUAUAAUUCAGUGGGUUUUUAAUUUUUAAAUUGAGGUAUAAACGAAACAAUAGAAAUAGAGAGCAAUGUUAUAAAUAUAGAACCAGAAAACAGAAGCAAUAGAAAAAUAUUAGGAGAAAGAGCUAUAAAUGAAUAAUGGAAAUAGGAAUAGAGGAGAGAUAUACUCAACUUAGUCUAACAUAUCUCGAGUAAAGGAUGUCAAUACACACACUCUAUCUUACCUUUUAUAGCCACUACAUUCGAUGGCUUCAUGGUCCACGUUUUGCACAUUUAAUUUUUAAAUUUGAUUUUCAAUGAGAAAAAUUAAUUUGACAUUUAAUUUUCGAAUGUAAUUUUCAAUGAGAAAAAUUAAUUUGAUAAAUUUUUUAAAAGAAAAACUAUACACUCCAAUAGAAAUUGGAGUUUCCUCAUAGUAAUAUAACUAUACUUCUUUAUAUUAAGCCUUUUCUGUUAAAAUAUUCAUCUAGAAGAUAAUAUUUUCACUGUUUAGUGUAUUGAAUAUUUUUUCUAAAAUAUGUUUAAUUAAUUAAUAUGUUUUAAAAUAAAUAAAUAAGUACUGAAUUUGGAAUUAUAUUUUCUAUUAGAGUUGGAGUAAUUUAUGUCAACAUGUAAUUUUUUUAACACAUGAAACAAGAAUUAUUCUGUACAAGUCAAAUUUUAAUUAGAAAUAGCACUUAAUUAAAACAUUGAGUUUAAGACUUUUUAAGAAUUUACGUAUUAAAUAUUGUAUUAAUAAAAUUUGGUUUAAUAUUUUAAUAUUUAGUUAUUUUAAAUUUUAAGAAGUUCAUUUUAUUUAAAUAUUUUAUAAAUUUGUUUCAAAUAAGGUUUUUCAUCCUCACACAUCUUCUUCAUAGACACACAUUUUCUUUAUCCACACAUUUUUUUUUUCAUUUAUAUUUAUCUACUUCAUUCAUGUUCAUUUCUUUCCUCCACCACAAAAAAUAUUUUUUUAUUUUAUACUUUAUUUUGUUGAAGAUGAAGGUGUUUAAUUAUAAAAAAAAAAUUAAAAUUUUGUCACAUGUUGGUCAAAUCCACUUAAUUUAAAUUAAUAUUAACAUUAAAAUAAAAAAACAUCAGUAUUGACUUGAUCGCCAUUAAAUUGUUUUAACUAAAAAUUCAAUUUAUAAUUUAAUACUAAAUUAACAUCAAUUUAAAUUUAGUCAAACCUAGAAUUGGUCUUAAAAAGCCAAUACUAAUAAUGGUUUUAAAAUCAUACACACAUUUAACCCAAAUUUAAUGAUUUUGAUUAAUUAAUAUCAGUAUUUAUUUGUUAGUAAUGAUUAACCUAACACUAAAUAUUAAUUUUGUUAUAGUACCGUUAAAUUUCUAUUUUCUUGUUGUAGUGCAUGAAUUUAAAUGAAAUAGUAAAUAUAUUCGCAACUUACUACUUAAUGUAACAUUUAAAAGGGAAAUGGACUAAAAUCAUACUGUAAAGAUGAAAUUUGCAAAUUACAUACUUUUUAAAAGAUUAGAACACCUCAAUUAUUCCAAUUUUGUUAUAAAUAUAUACUGCUGAUAAAAAAUAUAACUCAAUCAUACUACUUUAUAAAUUAUUAAUUGGUUUAUCUAAUCUUUUUAGAGUUUGGAGUUAUUUUACAAACUUUUACCAAGGAAAAUUAUACUAUUUUAAACAUGUCAAUUAAAGUAAUUUGCACACAAAUUAAACUAAUAGAAAGUUUGUUAUAACAAUUACUAAAAAAUUAUUUAAAUGUAUCCUUUAUUAAAGAAUAUUACGCCUAAUAACUUGUAUAAACAUAAUGAUUUAUUUUUUAAAAAUACAAAACAAUCAAGAACCUCAAACUGAUAGGUCCCUCAAAACAAGGAUAAGAUGAGAGAAUGUCUGGGUAGAGUACGAGGAGGAGUAAACACUUAUCCAAACGAACUUUAUCAUGGUUUUUUCUUUUGGCCUUUUAUUUAGAAUUUUCUAGUAGAAAAAAACUUUUUUAUUGGGAAAAUAUUAUGUUAAUUUUGUACGUAAAUUUCGUAUGUAAAAUGCCAAUUGUUUUACGUACAGACAAAUUUAUUUAUACCUAUAGAUCAAUUCCUUCAAAAUUAUUCAUGUGUCAUGGUGUUCAAUUUUCUACUGAUUUGUUCUACGGAUAUUGGGUGGAAAAUUAAUUUGUAUUUGCUUAUGAAUAAAUCAGUAGAUAGUUCAAAUUUAUACACAUAUUUAAAUCGGUACAUAAAUAUCCCCAGGUAAACAACAUAUUUUAUCUAUAGAUCCUAAUCUAUGUGUAAAAAAACUUAGGUAAUUGUACUAGUGAUUA
rnacentral:lncRNA from 1 species